rnacentral:rRNA from 1 species
AUACAGAGGGUGCGAGCGUUAAUCGGAAUUACUGGGCGUAAAGCGCGCGUAGGCGGUCUAUUAAGUCAGAUGUGAAAUCCCAGGGCUCAACCUUGGAACUGCAUCUGAUACUGAUAGACUAGAGUUUUGGAGAGGGAAGUAGAAUUUCAGGUGUAGCGGUGAAAUGCAUAGAGAUCUGAAGGAAUACCAGUGGCGAAGGCGACUUCCUGGCCAAAAACUGACGCUGAGGUGCGAAAGCGUGGGUAACAAACGGGAUUAGAUACCCUAGUAGUCC